CUGACUUUGCUCCCCAAAAUCUCUAGAAGCAUCAUCUCUGCUCCACCAUCACUAAUCGAAUCAUCCUCCACUCAACCAUCACUAAUUGAAUCAUCCUCCGAUCCAAAACCCUAAUCGAUCCAAAACCCUAAUUGCUCCCAAAAGUGGCGACCGUUGGACUUUAGCAAUGAGCUAAUGAUUUCUUAGGGUUCAGUUUGUUGUGAACUAUGACCAACAUCUUGUUAUUCUUAAUCGAAGAAGUGGACUUUCAUUGGAGGACAAACUCCCUGGUGAAUCAGUUACAUUAGGCGAAGCAUUAAUGGCGCCAACUGUAAUUUAUGUUAAACAGGGUGCUUAGCAUUAUCAGCAAGGGAGGCCUCAAAGGAAUCACCCACAUAACAGGUGCUGGUUUAACAAAUAAUGUCCCUCAUGUUUUCCCUCAAGGCCUCAGGGCCCACAUGUACAACAACUCUUGGUCCGUUCUUCCUGUUUUCAAGUGGAUCCAAAAGGAUGGAAACAUUGAAGAUGCUGAAAUGAAGCGUACAUUUAAUAUGGGAAUCGGGAUGGUUUUGGUUGCUGGCGAAAAGGCUGCCCAAAGGAAAGAGGUCAAGGAUGUAAAUCACUUUAUGAGCCUUCCAAUCUGUUUAAUGGGUCAUUUUUAGGUCCCUUAUUUCAUCUUGCCCGAUUACCUCAUUAGAGAAAAAAUAAAAAAUAAAAAGAAAACAGAUACGGCCCAAUCUGACCCAUUAAUAAGGAAUGGUUAACAUGUAGCGGUAUACACAUGAAGUGGUGAUUCCGGUCAAGUUCAUAGCAAAGAGGACUUAAAGACGGAUACACAUGAAGUGGGGCACAGAGGUGGCACUAGGGCUGGUCUUUUCCGAACCCCGAUAUCAAGGGGAGUGCAGAGUGCAACCUCUUUUAACGACUGACCUAAACCCGCUGUGGCAGUCCGUAAUUUGAUGGAACAGAUUAAAAAGUUGAACUUAGUUAUAAGGAGCUCAUUAAGGAAAAGGAUGAAGAAAAAGAAAGGUUAAAUGGGAUUAUCGUGGGGUUGUUGGCUGGAAAAGAAAAAGAUAAGGUGGAGAAAGAUACUAUGCUCGAUAGGAUGUCACAAAUUGAAGCUAGGCUACAAACACUUGGUUUUAAAUGUUUCGAUGUUUAUCAUAUUAGGAUAAUUUUAGUUAUCUAAUGUUUUAGCAGGUAUUUCUAUUAGAAUGUUUUAU